CGCUCAACGGAUAAAAGGUACUCCGGGGAUAACAGGCUGAUACCGCCCAAGAGUUCAUAUCGACGGCGGUGUUUGGCACCUCGAUGUCGGCUCAUCACAUCCUGGGGCUGAAGUCGGUCCCAAGGGUAUGGCUGUUCGCCAUUUAAAGUGGUACGCGAGCUGGGUUUAGAACGUCGUGAGACAGUUCGGUCCCUAUCUGCCGUGGGCGUUGGAGAAUUGAGGGGGGCUGCUCCUAGUACGAGAGGACCGGAGUGGACGAUCCGCUGGUGUUCCAGUUGUCAUGCCAAUGGCAUUGCUGGGUAGCUACGAUCGGGAAGGAUAACCGCUGAAAGCAUCUAAGCGGGAAACCUGCCCCAAGAUAAGUUCUCCCUAGACUUUAAGUCUUCUGAAGGGCCGUUAAAGACGAUGACGUUGAUAGGCAAGGUGUGGAAGUUCAGUAAUGGAUGAAGCUAACUUGUACUAAUUACCCGUGAGGCUUAACUAUACAACUCAAAAG
rnacentral:rRNA from 1 species